UUCAAGUACGCUCAGAGAAUCUCAAUCCAACAUGUUCAAGUUAAGCUGAGACUGUGAACACCAAUGCUGAAAAAGUACACUCAGAGAAUCUCAAUCCAAUAUGUUUAAGUCAAGUUGAGACUGUGAACACCAAUGCUGAAAAAGUACACUCAGAGAAUCUCAAUCCAAUAUGUUUAAGUCAAGCUGAGACUGCGAACACCAAUGCUGACAAAGUGAGUCUGAUGGAACU